GACGAACGCUGGCGGCGUGCUUAACACAUGCAAGUCGAACGGAAAGGCCCUGCUUUUGUGGGGUGCUCGAGUGGCGAACGGGUGAGUAACACGUGAGUAACCUGCCCUUGACUUUGGGAUAACUUCAGGAAACUGGGGCUAAUACCGGAUAGGAGCUCCUGCUGCAUGGUGGGGGUUGGAAAGUUUCGGCGGUUGGGGAUGGACUCGCGGCUUAUCAGCUUGUUGGUGGGGUAGUGGCUUACCAAGGCUUUGACGGGUAGCCGGCCUGAGAGGGUGACCGGCCACAUUGGGACUGAGAUACGGCCCAGACUCCUAUGGGAGGCAGCAGUGGGGAAUAUUGCACAAUGGGCGGAAGCCUGAUGCAGCAACGCCGCGUGCGGGAUGACGGUCUUCGGGUUGUAAACCGCUUUCGCCUGUGACGAAGCGUGAGUGACGGUAAUGGGUAAAGAAGCACCGGCUAACUACGUG
rnacentral:rRNA from 1 species